UACGAAGGGGGCUAGCGUUGUUCGGAUUCACUGGGCGUAAAGGGUGCGUAGGCGGGGUUUUAAGUCAGGGGUGAAAUGCCGAGGCUCAACUUCGGAACUGCCUUUGAUACUGGAACUCUUGAGUCUGGGAGAGGUGAGUGGAACUGCGAGUGUAGAGGUGAAAUUCGUAGAUAUUCGCAAGAACACCAGUGGCGAAGGCGGCUCACUGGCCCGGUACUGACGCUGAGGUGCGAAAGCGUGGGGAGCAAACAGG
rnacentral:rRNA from 1 species